AUAUGUGGGACAAUUCUCUCUCUCUCUCUCUCUCAAGCUAGCCGAAAAUCCCUUCUCUUCCUCUUGGUUCUUCUUAACUUUGAAUCAAGUCAAGACCAGGAGUAAAUCAAACACACUGAUCAAUAGUUUUUUUCUAUUUGUCUUCCUAGAUCUCAUACUUUCUUGCAAGAGGAUGUAGAUCUCUUCCCGAUGUGGUGCGUAGUGCUUUAGAUGGAUUCUAUAUUUGGAUCUUCCAUGAACAAGAUCAGGACGACCCAUGUAGCCGGUUACAGAAAACGAAAGAGAACGUACGGCAAAAGAACGUCUUCAUUCUAUGGCAAAAGAACGUCUUCUCUCCACCUCUGAUUUCACCGCCAUCGUCGCCGUUCUGAUGACCCACUGGCCGAGAUGUAUACCCGUCAAUUCCCCUCCUCAAGGCGAACAUUUCGGUAUGUUUUGAUUCAAUUUUCAUCCAUCUUUCCAAUUUGUAGUAUAUUUAACCACCUUCUACAUUCAAACGUCAAUUUGCCACCGUUUGAACGCCUUAUGCCGGCGAACCACCACCAUUCGUCUGCCCAUCGUCCGUCGAGGCCAACGGACCCUCACCCAUCGAGUUUCGACAACUGUACGACGAGAUUGAGUUUCUUCACCGAAACGCCGAUCAUUUCACCGCCACAAUUCUUCGCAGUUGAUGGUGAUUUCACAAAGGCAUGGCAUAUCGCAAAUACUUGGAGCAGGCUGGCUUUCCACAGGAGGAGCAUUGGACAUUAAAUGUUGAGCAGCGCUUAAUGUGGAUAAUCGUUAACAACAACACCCUGGUCCCCAUGAGAGACGAUCAUCGUGCGGAGGCACACAUUUCUCAGUGGGUUCGUGCAUUAAGAUGGCAUUUUGGGUAGCAUUACACACGAGAUCAGGUCCGUCAGAAAUUUUAGAAUUGAAGGAGCAUUUUCGUCAGUUCCACGAAAUCACUCAGAUACCAGGGAUUUAUUAUGACGUUGAAAUAUUUUGUAUGGAUUUUUCUGACGAGCUACGACCACGUACGACAUGGACGAUACUACCAGUACCCAGAGCCUCAUUACCCCAGCAUGCUCGAGAUAUGGGGCCCAAUUAGACUGCCGCUUGGUCCAACAGAGGUGCAUAGUGAUGGGGGGCAUAGCCAGAGUAGUAAUGCACCGCGUAGUUUUGUGAGAGGUGGUGAAGAUGCCCCCAUUAUCAUCUCGGGAUCCACUGCAGCAACGAACCAAACGCAUACUCAUAUUGCUAGUUGGGAUGUAGUGGAACAGGUAGCUUGUGGGGAUGGUGGCCCACGAUUGGCGAGCAAUAUUUCAUGAGUGCCACGUCGAAGUCUGGACAUGGGUUCUGGAGUUGGCGGGAUUAGAUCAUGGACAGAUUAUAUUCGUCGCUUUGGCGUGCAAUCCGACUGUGGAGGCCAUUCGCAUAGUGAGGGAGACAGUAUAGCACGCUCACGGCGACCACAAGGAAUUCCACCACGGCGAUGUGACGGUCCUUAAGUAAUAGUGGUAUUGUUGUAGAAUAUAUGAACCAGUCACAUGUUGUCAUAUGUUAAUUACAAAGUUAACGGAAACAUGAUUUUGUGCGUCUUUUAUCAUUCAAU